rnacentral:rRNA from 1 species
CGGUUGAUCCUGCCGGACCUUACUGCUAUCGGAUUGAUACUAAGCCAUGCGAGUCAUUGUAGCAAUACAAGGCAGGCAGCUCAGUAACGCGUAGUCAAUCUACCCUAUGGACGGGAAUAACCUCGGGAAACUGAGAAUAAUGCCCGAUAGAGCAUUAUGCCUGGAAUGGUUUAUGUUUCAAAUGAUUUAUCGCCAUAGGAUGGGACUGCGGCCUAUCAGUUUGUUGGUGAGGUAAUGGCCCACCAAGACUAUUACAGGUACGGGCUCUGAGAGGAGUAGCCCGGAGAUGGGUACUGAGACACGGACCCAGGCCCUAUGGGGCGCAGCAGGCGAGAAAACUUUGCAAUGUGCGAAAGCACGACAAGGUUAAUCCGAGUGGUUUCUGCUAAAGAAACCUUUUGUCAGUCCUAGAAACACUAACGAAUAAGGGGUGGGCAAGUUCUGGUGUCAGCCGCCGCGGUAAAACCAGCACCUCAAGUGGUCAGGAUGAUUAUUGGGCCUAAAGCAUCCGUAGCUCGUUUUGUAAGUUUUCGGUUAAAUCCAUGCGCUUAACGUAUGGGCUGCCGGGAAUACUGCAUAACUAGGAAGUGGGAGAGGUAGACGGUACUCGGGAGGAAGGGGUAAAAUCCUUUGAUCUCUUGAUGACCACCUGUGGCGAAGGCGGUCUACCAGAACACGUUCGACGGUGAGGGAUGAAAGCUGGGGG